rnacentral:rRNA from 1 species
GAUUCUUUCGGGAAGAAGAGUGAUUUGACUGAGCGGCGGACGGGUGAGUAGCGCGUGGGUAGCCUGCCUCAUACAGGGGGAUAACAGUUAGAAAUGACUGCUAAUACCGCAUAAGCGCACAGGAUUGCAUGAUCCAGUGUGAAGAACUCCGGUGGUAUGAGAUGGACCCGCGUCUGAUUAGGUAGUUGGCGGGGUAACGGCCCACCAAGCCGACGAUCAGUAGCCGACCUGAGAGGGUGACCGGCCACAUUGGGACUGAGACACGGCCCAAACUCCUACGGGAGGCAGCAGUGGGGAAUAUUGCACAAUGGGGGAAACCCUGAUGCAGCGACGCCGCGUGAGCGAAGAAGUAUUUCGGUAUGUAAAGCUCUAUCAGCAGGGAAGAAACUGACGGUACCUGACUAAGAAGCACCGGCUAAAUACGUGCCAGCAGCCGCGGUAAUACGUAUGGUGCAAGCGUUAUCCGGAUUUACUGGGUGUAAAGGGAGCGUAGACGGAUGUGCAAGUCUGGAGUGAAAACCCGGGGCUCAACCCCGGGACUGCUUUGGAAACUGUGUAUCUAGAGUGCUGGAGAGGCAAGUGGAAUUCCUAGUGUAGCGGUGAAAUGCGUAGAUAUUAGGAGGAACACCAGUGGCGAAGGCG